UACGGGGGGGGCAAGCGUUGUUCGGAAUUACUGGGCGUAAAGAGCUCGUAGGCGGCUUGUCGCGUCGUCUGUGAAAUCCCGCGGCUCAACCGCGGGUCUGCAGUCGAUACGGGCAGGCUAGAGUUCGGUAGGGGAGACUGGAAUUCCUGGUGUAGCGGUGAAAUGCGCAGAUAUCAGGAGGAACACCAAUGGCGAAGGCAGCUCGCUGGGAAGGUACUGACGCUGAGACGCGAAAGCGUGGGGAGCAAACAGG
rnacentral:rRNA from 1 species